AGGUCUACGAUGUUAGAAAAAUACCAUCUUGAAAAAAACGGUGCCAGCACUGAAAAGGCAACAACAGGACCACCAGGAAACUGGCAGGCACCAUCCUGGGACUAGCAGUGCUGGCAGCAAGGAAAAGUGGGAUUUGCAGCACAAGGUGAAAACUUUUGAGGAUGGAGUCUUGGCCAUUUAAUUGGAAACCAGUGCCUGUUUAGUUUUUAGGAUGAAAUUAAAUCUCUUUGUGGAAAGAAAGGCUCUUGCCCACAGAAGGGAUUUAGCUGUGCAAGGUCUGAUGAAUAGACACCUGUCCCAGAGCCAUAAAAGUGUGGGAAAGUCUGAGAGAGAUGCUCCAUUACUGUGGAAAACCAGCGAGAUGCCAGAAAGAAGGAAAGUUCACUGUGAAGCAUUGUUUUGGCAUCCCCAGCUCUGAGACAGGAAGCCUGUUGUUACAUUAACUCUUGGGAUUUGGAGGGCAAUAUAUUUUCUCCUCAUUCCACCAGUUACCCUGGGACUGUAAAAUGCAUCUCUGUAGAUAUCUCUCUACACAGUGACUUUAAAGCGUUUUGCAAGUGGGAGAUGCCACCAGCAUCAGAUGAAAUGGAAAGAAACAACCUCAUUACAAAGGAGGAGAAACAAGGACAAAAAAAAGUCAAAUAACCUUGCAAAGAACUUGCUGCCAUCAAGAAGAAGGCUCAACUCAAGCCUCUGGUCCUGCAGGCAUCUUCAGGUAUAUAGCCACCCUACUGCCUUGGUUUCUUGGGCUGUGCCUAGCAUG